rnacentral:rRNA from 1 species
GACGAACGCUGGCGGCGCGCUUAACACAUGCAAGUCGAGCGAGAACCAGGACUUCGGUCCUGGGGACAGCGGCGAACGGGUGAGUAACACGUGGGUAAUCUGCCCUCGAUUCUGGGAUAGCCCGGGGAAACCCGGAUUAAUACCGGAUAGCCUUCCAGGUUCUCGGACCGGGAAGAAAAGGUAGCUUCGGCCUCCGAUCGAGGAUGAGCCCGCGGUGGAUUAGCUUGUUGGCGGGGUAACGGCCCACCAAGGCGACGAUCCAUAGCUGGUCUGAGAGGACGAUCAGCCACACUGGGACUGAGACACGGCCCAGACUCCUACGGGAGGCAG